rnacentral:SRP_RNA from 1 species
CCGUGCUAGAUGGGGAGAUGGCGGUGCCCUGUAACUUGCAACCCGCCUUAGCAAGAUUGAACUCCUUCUAGCGGUUCGGUUCAUGUAAGGAUUGACUUAUGCAAGCGGUGUUGACCGUUGGGGUCUACGCAACAGAAAUCUAUGAAUUUGGUCAGGCCUGGAAGGGAGCAGCCAUAAGUAGAUAAUUCUGUGUGCCGUAGGUAGCCCUAACCGAGCUAGCUACAUGAGUAACACUUAUGUGACCGGGUCAAUAGAAGGUGCACGG